rnacentral:rRNA from 1 species
GGCACACGGUGGAUGCCUUGGCAUGCAGAGGCGAUGAAGGACGUGUAAAGCUGCGAAAAGCCACGGGGAGCUGCACAAAAGUGUUGAUCCGUGGGUAUCCGAAUGGGGCAACCCAUCCCUUAGGGGAUAUCCUUUCGAGGAGGCAUACGCUCUGAACUGAAACAUCUAAGUAGGAGCAGGAAGAGAAAACAAUAGUGAUUCCCUGAGUAGUGGCGAGCGAAAGGGGAGAAGCCCAAACCGGGCCCUACGGGGUUCGGGGUUGUAGGACCUGCGCGAGUUGUGUUAUUGGAAGUCGAAUGGGUCUGGAAAGCCCAGCCACAGACGGUGAUAGUCCGGUAGGCGUAACGAUGACAUGAUGGCGGGUAUCCUGAGUAGCGCGAGGCCGGUGAAACCUUGCGUGAAUUUGCCGGCACCAUCCGGUAAGGCUAAAUAC